CGAGAUUCCCCCAGUAGCGGCGAGCGAACGGGGAGCAGCCCAGAGCCUGAAUCAGUGUGUGUGUUAGUGGAAGCGUCUGGAAAAGCGCGCGAUACAGGGUGACAGCCCCGUACACAAAAAUGCACAUGCUGUGAGCUCGAUGAGUAGGGCGGGACACGUGGUAUCCUGUCUGAAUAUGGGGGGACCAUCCUCCAAGGCUAAAUACUCCUGACUGA
rnacentral:rRNA from 1 species